GGAGACGGUUUCAUUGUCGGCUUCUGCUGAUGAUGUAACAGUGUUUUUAAAGGGGAGGGAGAUGUAGAAGAGUUUAGCAAGGCUUUAUUGUUGUUUGAGGUGAUGGUAUCAGCUAAGGUGACCUGGGAGAAGAGUGGGAUCUCCUAGUCUUCCUGGGGGGCUACAGUGGGUCAGAGCAGGAUCUCCUAGUCUUCCUGGGGGGCUACAGUGGGUCAGAGCAGGAUCUCCUAGUCUUCCUGGGGGGUUACAGUGGGUCAGAGCAGGAUCUCCUAGUCUUCCUGGGGGGUUACAGUGGGCCAGAGCAGGAUCUCCUAGUCUUCCUGGGGGGUUACAGUGGGUCAGAGCAGGAUCUCCUAGUCUUCCUGGGGGGCUACAGUGGGUCAGAGCAGGAUCUCCUAGUCUUCCUGGGGGGCUACAGUGGGUCAGAGCAGGAUCUCCUGGUCUUCCUGGGGGGGUUACAGUGGGUCAGAGCAGGAUCUCCUAGGCUUCCUGGGGGGUUACACUGGGUCAUAGCAGGAUCUCCUAGUCUUCCUGGGGGGCUACAGUGGGGCAGAGAAGAGAUGUUCUUAAGGGUGUUCUUGGGGGCCUCAGAGUUUCAGGAGAGAAACUGGGAGGGGCUGGUGGACAAGGUUGCAGUUAAGUUGUCUAAAUGGCGGUGGUUGUUGCCACUGGUCACCAAUAACUUGGCGGCUUCAAUGAUCUAUCACAGGCUGAUGGUGUUGGAACCCCACAGAGUCUCGUCUAGCAACUGCAGAGGUCACAGGUGGAUUUAUUUUGGUCAACACUGGCCACAUGCAGAAGUGUUACAUCUCCCUUUGCAUCACGGGGGCCAAGGGCUGGUGGAUAUUGGGUCCAGAGUGACAGCUUUCCGUCUUAAAGCUGCAAAGAGACUUCUGUACCAGAAGGGUGUGUGCUGCAGGGACAGUGCUUGGGCUGUUCUGAGGAGAGCACAGGACCUUGGGUAUGACCUUGGUAUCUGCUCACAGAGAUGUUUCAUGGCCAUGGAUAAUGGAGAAGCCACCGUUGCACAACCUAUUCAUCCAGUCCAGAGUGUUGACCUCCGCCAGCUUGCAAGCCAGGCUUGUGAGAGCGGGGAUCACUAAGUUGGGUGACCUGGAAGAAGAGGCUGGGUGGAAAUCUGCCAGCGACAUCGCGGAGGCUUCAUCCACAAGGUCAGCCAGGCUGCUGCAGCAGGAGGUGGAGGGGGUCCAUGCUGCACUUCCGGGCUCAUUCAGAGAGCCGCUAGGGAGACUGGAACCGUCUAACCACUAAUGACACUGAUCUACCUCCUUUCACAAUUGCUGCCACUGCAGAGAAUACCAGUAGGGUGAGGGAAUGAUCCUAUCGUUCAAGACUCCAAAGCUGGGAACCUUUUGCACAGCAAAAAGGCUCUGUACAUGGUAGCUGUGAAGGUGGCUCAGAAAGACCAUCUGCAUGGGCUGAGGGCAACAGGGUGGUAGAGGGACGGGGGUUGGGAACGUGGCUCCUCUCUGAGAGGAUGUUGGCGCUCCCUGUAUAAGCCUCUCAUAGAGAAGGUUAGGGUCAGGGUUAGCUAACAUGCUGAGUAGUUGCAAAGUAGCUAAAAAGUAGUAAGUAGUUGAAAAGUUGCUAAUUAGCAAAAAUUCUGAAGUUGUCCGUGAUGAGAUUGGAUCUCACAACCUUUUGGUUGCUAGAUAAUCAUGUUAUAAGCCCUCCCUCCACCCCGACCAACCACCCUACUUUUGUUUUUGGGUCUGACUCUGGACCCAUUUAUUGGCGGGCCUACGUAUAGCGUAGCCAAUAGGUGAAGGGACUGCCUAGUAAACUACUGGUUGGGACAGUUAAAAAUGGCAGUGUGCCAGGAAACAUGAGAUGCAUGUGGCGGGGUGUAUAGACCCCAGAGCUGUGCUGCUAGUACUUAUGCCGGCUCGGCUCACACUGGAGUAUGCAUAUGGGAGGAUGGAAAACCAUCUGGGGGAUUUUGAGAGGGAUUGGAUGGGGUUCUAUGUGCAGUGAAUGAGGAGUGGGGUUUGUUUCGAACUUGCUAGUGUGUUAACCUCUUGGGGCUAUGUGGGACGCUAGCGUGCCACCCGUGGUGCACCCUAUCAACAGCAGGUGCAUUUCAAGAGCGGCAAAUUUGAAACCAAAUAAAUGUCAAAAUUCAAAUUUUUCAAACAUACAACUAUCUUACACCCUUUGAAAGAUAAACAUCUCCUUAAUCUAACCACAUUGUCCGAUUUCAAAAAGGUUUUACGGCGAAAGCAUAAAGAUAGAUUAUGUUAGGAGAGUACAUUGACAAUAGCUGUGUGUAAUGUUUUGUCAAUUCAAAGACAGGCAUCACCAAAACCACAAAAUCAGCUGAAGUUAUGCACUAACCUUUGACAAUCUCCAUCAGAUGACACUCCUAGGACAUUAUGUUAG
rnacentral:lncRNA from 1 species